rnacentral:lncRNA from 1 species
CAAAUGUACAUCACCAUUUCAUAGGUGGCCUUGUCACCACAGGCCAGCCUGAGCAUGGUGGGUGCCUCACAGAAGAAGUGGUCGAUCUUGUGGGAAGCACAGAAUGGGAGACUCAUGGUGAUGGGGGUGAGGAGGAAGCUGUCCAAAGCACCGCCGAACCAAGAGCUGGCCAAGAUCAUCCAACAGACUUGGUGACUCAUGAUGACAGGAUAGCGGAGGGGGUUGCAGAUGGCCACGUAGCGGUCAUAGGCCAUGAGUCCCAGCAGGAAGAAUUCAGCCCCCACAAAGCCCAUGUAGAGAAAGUACUGGGCUGUACAAGGAGAUAAAGGAGAUGGUCCUCUUGCCCAUGAGAUAAUCAACCAGUGUCUUGGGCACAAUGGUGGAAAUGUACAUCAUGUCAAUGAAGGAGAGGUGGCUGAGCAGGAAGUACAUAGGAGUGUGGAGAUACUUUUUGUUGACAUCCUCUGGCAUCAGAAGUGGAGUCCAAAACAAUCCCCAGACUUUUCCUUGCACUGUCUGCAACCAAUGCUUUGGUGCCUGCAAGAGCCCUUGAGCUCACUUGUUCCUUGAUGGAGUUGAGAUACGUUCAGGAGAACUUAAACAUGGCAGGGAUGACACAGAAAAAAGUGAUCAAUGGCUCUUGAGCCACAGAAGUGAAUGUGAAGGACUUAAGCUCUAUGAACUAUGGAGUUGAAAGUCCCAACAAGCCAGGACCCUGCAGCUAUGGGAAUGCUGACGUAGUGGUUCAUAAGAAUGAGAUACUGCAGUGUGUG